rnacentral:rRNA from 1 species
AGUGAACGCUGGCGGUAGGCCUAACACAUGCAAGUCGAACGGCAGCACAGUAAGAGCUUGCUCUUACGGGUGGCGAGUGGCGGACGGGUGAGGAAUACAUCGGAAUCUACUUUUUCGUGGGGGAUAACGUAGGGAAACUUACGCUAAUACCGCAUACGACCUACGGGUGAAAGCAGGGGAUCUUCGGACCUUGCGCGAUUGAAUGAGCCGAUGUCGGAUUAGCUGGUUGGCGGGGUAAAGGCCCACCAAGGCGACGAUCCGUAGCUGGUCUGAGAGGAUGAUCAACCACACUGGAACUGAGACACGGUCCAGACUCCUACGGGAGGCAGCAGUGGGGAAUAUUGGACAAAGGGCGCAAGCCUGAUCCAGCCAUACCGCGUGGGUGAAGAAGGCCUUCGGGUUGUAAAGCCCUUUUGUUGGGAAAGAAAAGCAGCAGGUUAAUACCCCGCUGUUCUGACGGUACCCAAAGAAUAAGCACCGGCUAACUUCGUG